rnacentral:rRNA from 1 species
GACGAACGCUGGCGGCGUGCUUAACACAUGCAAGUCGAGCGGUAAGGCCCUUCGGGGUACCCGAGCGGCGAAGCGGGGAGUAACACGGGGGUGACUUGCCCUCCACCUUGGGAUAAGCCUGGGAAAACGGGGCUAAUCCCGGGUAUGAACUCCGCAUGCCUGUCCGGUGGUGGCAAGUUCUCGCGGUGGGGGAUGGGCGCGCGGUAGAUCAGGUCGGGGGUGGGGUGUUGGCGUACCAAGGCGACGACGGAUAGCAGGCCGGAGAGGGUGAUCGGCGACACUGGGACCGAGACACGGCCCAGACGCAUGCGGCAGGCGGCAGUGGGGAAGCAUGCGCAAUGGGCGGAUGCCUGACGCCGCAACGGCGCGUGGGGGAUGACGGCCUUCGGGGUGUAAACCUCUGUCGCGAUCGACGAAGCUCGUACUUCUGGUAGGUGUGACGGUAGGUAGAGAAGAAGCACCGGCCAACUACGUG